rnacentral:tRNA from 3 species
GGGCGAAUGGCGGAAUUGGUAGACGCGCCAGACUCAAAAUCUAGUUCCAGCAAUGGAGUGUGGGUUCGAUUCCCACUUCGCCCACCA